rnacentral:rRNA from 1 species
UACGUAGGGUGCAAGCGUUGUCCGGAAUUAUUGGGCGUAAAGGGCUCGUAGGCGGUCCAUCGCGUCGGGAGUGAAACGCUGGGGCUCAACCCCAGUCCUGCUCCCGAUACGGGUGGACUAGAGGUAGGCAGGGGAGAAUGGAAUUCCCGGUGUAGCGGUGAAAUGCGUAGAGAUCGGGAGGAACACCAGAGGCGAAGGCGGCGACCUGGACAGGCAUUGACACUCAACUACGAAAGCGUGGGGAGCAAACAGG